rnacentral:rRNA from 1 species
AUUGAACGCUGGCGGCAGGCCUAACACAUGCAAGUCGAGCGAGCGGCGGACGGGUGAGUAAUGUAUGGGGACUGCCCGAUAGAGGGGGAUAACUACUGGAAACGGUGGCUAAUACCGCAUACUAUCGGAUAACCCAUAUGGGAUUAGCUAGUAGGUGGGGUAAAGGCUCACCUAGGCGACUAUCUCUAGCUGGUCUGAGAGGAUGAUCAGCAACACUGGAAAUGAGACACGGGCCAGGCUCCUACGGAGGCAGCAGUGGGGAAUAUUGCACAAUGGGCGCAAGCCUGAUGCAGCCAGGCCGCGUGUAUAAAGAAGGCCUUCGGGUUGUAAAGUACUUUCAGCGAGGAGGCGUUACUCGCAGAAGAAGCACCGGCUAACUCCGUGCCAGAAGGCGCGGUAAUUC